ACAUUGCUUUCUAAAUUUACUUUUACAUAAUUAACACAUUUCGUAUGUUAUGACAUCACGAUAGAAUAAAAAUUAAUUUGCUUUAUAUAGUGUCUUACAGCAUUUCUUGAAUUAGCUUUAGACGUGACUGUGUCAGAUGUCUUUUCCUACACAAACAAUGCAACUCAAUGGAUGAAAUUUUAAUGUUGAAACUAAACAACAAAAGAUAUUUGUGAGAGAAGAUAACAUACUGUGUAAAAUGAAGAGAUUUAGAGACAAGGAAAGGAAGGUGGAGAGAAUAGAAAGGUGGAGAGAAGAGGAGAGAAAGGUGAAGAGGAGGAAGAGGAGAGAAAAAUGGAGAGAAGAAGGAAAAGUGGAAGGAAUAGUUGUAACUAUUAUAUUGUGUUUAGAUAUAUGUGUGUUUAUAUAAAUAUCAAUAAAUAAAUAAGUAAACAAAACAAAAUGAACACCUUCAUCACCAACAGAAAGAUUAUUUUUUAGAUGAUGAAAGGAUGCAAGGUUAAACUUCUCCAAGUUGGUUGGAUCCUUAAAUGACAGAAAGAAUUUCAAUUGCUGACAUUUGAUCACAUUCAUUAUUUAUCCAAAUAUAUUUUUGUUCGUUUGUCCUUCAACAAGCAAAAUACACAAAAUACCUGGAUCGUUAAAAUAUCUUUACGUAAGAAAGGCUCGUCCGUUAACAAAUCUUUGAAAUUUCUUGUUUUAAUGUUCAACUGCUCAACAGCCUUAAAUACAACAACAAAUCUUGAAAUAAACAGAUGACAAACAAACCAUUAUGAAAAUGUCAUGUAUUUACCUCAAAUGAGAAAACAUUUCCAGUUUUUUUGAUAGCAACAAUAUGACUGUUUUGUGUGAACACUUUAUAUGUGACAGGACAAUGAUAUUUAUCUGGUUUACAAGAAAAACGAUAACUCCAAUAAAGGAUGUUUUCAUUUUUUAUACAUUAACUUUUCAUAGUACUGCUGAUAGUACCUUCUGAAUUUUUGUGGAAAUUCAAUUUGAUCAAAUUUUUAAUUUCCAGAAUCUGAAAUAAUAAAGUAUUUAAGAAACAAACUAA